GUGCUCACUUUGGUAGCACAUACACUGAAACUGGACCAAUACAGAGAUUAGCAAGGCCCCUGUGCAAGGAUGUCAGGAAAACAUAUUCUUCUAUUU
ensembl:snRNA U6 U6 spliceosomal RNA